rnacentral:lncRNA from 1 species
GGAACAGAUUGCACGCAAUGAAUAGGUUUAAAGGGAAACAGGAGACAAAGUUGCUUUUAGAAGAAUCCUGCUUGUUCAACGUAUUGGGCACAUUAUUAUUACUUAUCUAGCACUAACCAUGUGCUAAGCACUGUAUAUUCUCCAAAUAACUCACAGAGAUGUAUAAAUGACAAGACGACAGAGCAGAAUGGAUGUUUGGGACGAUAUCUAUGUGAAUCCUUAGGGAACAAAGUCAAGCCAAUGGUAUGACCAAAUAAGAUGAAGAGUACCUGCUGUAUGCCGGAUAUUCUUCCAAGGGCUCGGCACGUGUAAUUGCUAAUUGACCCUGAGAAUCACCACGUGUGGGAGAUGAACAGGCCUUGGUGGUUCAUGUGAAUUCUGUCCACGUAUACGUCUGAGGUUCCUGAUCUUAGGUUAGGCCUGAAAGCCGCUUUCCCUUAGAACUGGGAGGAAAAGCGACUCUGUGGCUGGCCCAAACCAAACAGCAAACAGGAUGAGCAAAGAUUUGGAAGGACAACCUUGUCAUGGCCAAAUUUCCAGCCUUAUUUUCCACUGGUCCAGAAAAAUAUAUGCACAGAGCUAAGCAGUCUCUGAGAACCUGGAGGUGUCAGUCGGGGGCUGGCAGGAAACAGAUGGCACACUCAAAUUAGGCGAUUUAAGGAGAGUCUAAUAAAGGAGCUAUUUACAAAGGUGUCGGGAGCCACAGGGAUAGCGCAGUCCCUUGGGGCCGGUAAUAGCAGGGUGCUGUCACCUCCCCUAGGCCUGAAAGGUGAGGAGAUGGCGUGGUGACCUGCACCCUGAAACAGAGCACUGUGUGGAGAGGUCCACCUGGCAGGAGCUGUGGCCUUUAGUAGAGGAACCCAGCCAACCGACAGGGGCCCAGCAAGGUGGAGGCAGGGGGAUAAAUACCCCAACCUCAGUCUCCUCCCUCCUUCCCAUCUCCUUCUCAGGCUCCAACCAGAAACCAGAGGGCAAAGGGGCUCCAUUGAUUCAGUCCACCAAGAUCAGCCACCCCAGAAGCACAGGGCAGGGUGGAAGAGGGUGGAAUGUGGGACUGGACAGGCAAAGGGAAGAUUUGUGGAACAUUGCUUCUCAACGGGAACCACAGAGAGGUCAUUGCCCCCCUGGGACUGGAGAUUUGAAGCCAAGGAGAAGUUCAAGAUCUAAGUGAUGGUGGCGUGUUUCUGGGAUUGUGAAGUGGGAUGGCUGGUACAUGACUAGACUUGUGCUGGCCAAGCUAGGAGUCUGACAUCACCUUCUGUCCCUCUGCCCUUUGGUUGGGGUCUCUUAACCAGUUGGAAUUGAAUCUCAUUUUUCUCCAUGGGUAUACUCUUCAAAGCCAGAAAUAGCUAAAGAGGACUUCGCAAGCUCAGGAUUGUCUCUGACUGCACAGUCACUCAUGCCCUUCAAACCUGGCAUAAAUUUCGCUUCUGCUGUGAUGUCUUUCCGGACAUUUGUGUAUAUCUGUCCCACUGUCUAAAAUAGGGACCCCACAAUGGCAUGUUUUAUUCAUCUCCAUAUGCCCAGAACCUGACAUGGGGCUGACAUACUGUAGGAUCCCAAUAAAUAUUCGUUCAAUCUUGAUGUCCCUGUAGUCCUCGGCAGAUUCCAAUUUAACCAGCAUUUAUUAAGCCCUGCUACCUUCCGAGCACUUCAUUUUCAUAUGAAUUCUUUAAUUUAAUAUUCCCAGCAGCCUCGGUUAUUAUCCUCAUUUUCACAAAUGAGGAAACUGAGGCUCAGAGAAAUGAAGAGGCAGAACCUGGAUUUGCACAGAGUUCUACAUCCCAGGUCUGAUGCUCUUUCCUUUCCUGCUCAGAAAGUGUCCCUUGACUGGUCAUUGAACAGUUCCUUCAUGCAUAUGCAUGAGCUCACUGCAUGAAUGAGCCCGCGGAGCCUCUGUGUGUCUGCGUGCUUUGUGAAGCCCUGGACAUCAUUGAUGGUGUUUGCCUCUCACAGUGCGUGUCCCUGUUUGAUGGCCACUGCCAGCUAGAGCACUCAUGGGUAUCCUCCCCAUGAAGUCCACCUUAAACCCGCCCUGUGACAUAAGCGUGAGGUCCAGUAGGAUGGAUGCUGCCCCUGAACUCGGCUCUGAGCUGGAAGCAGGAGCCUGGCUCUCUCAUACUUGGUUUGCUCCCGUUGAGUCAAAACACACAUAUUUCUGACAGCUUCCUCUGUUGAAUAAUGAAAACAGAAAAUUGUCACAUGCGCACCCUUUGGUUGUCCUACAAUAGAGCGACCAAAAUUCUAAUCAGCCAGUAAAAUCCACCUGCUUCAGACAAGCCUCAAACCCCCGCUUACCAGAAAGAGAACAAAAGUUAGAAGCUGGUCCUUAUGCAAACUGCAUGUGUCCUGAACUCGCAUAUGGUUCUCUCAGUCUUCAUCACAUCCCUGAGGAUAGGAACUAUUGUUAGCUGUAUUUUAUAAGGUGAUGUGCCUGAGGCUUUAGGGUGGUGGGACCCUUGUCCAAAGCCACGCAGCCAGGAGGUGGCAGAGCCAGGCCUCAGGGCAGACCUGGACUUCUGGCUCUUGCCCAUGGGUGGGUCCAGCCCGAGGGAGCUUUCUGCUGCUUCUAAGCCUGCUGGCCUCAAUCACAUAGUGUCGCCUCAAUUCCUUCUCAUUACCUUCUGCCCUAUUUUACUGAGGAUUCAGGGCAGAUUUGGAUCUGGCCUAGAAAAACAUCUUCCUGACCCGUCAGAGAGAGAGAGGUAGGAAUGUGUUUCUAGGCUGUUCUGGAGAACCUAAGGCACUUAGUUGACAAGCUUUCUCCCUCCUGCCAGUCCUCAGAACACUUUAUCUGCCCCUUCCUUGUCACAGUCUGCCUUGUUUAUUUCUGCCGUAUCUCCCCUUCUAGGCAGGGAGCUCCACAAGGGCAGGGUCUGCGUCUGAUCCUCCGGUCUCCUCUCACACCCAGAGUCUUAGUGUCUGUCAACAUUUACCACGCACCGAUUGCACGCCAAGUUUUAUAUCAGACGCAUUCACAGCUGUGACCAUGUUUCUUCUUUGUGGCAACCCGUGUGGCAUACAUUGUAGGAUUAGCCCAUUUUACAGAUGAGGAGACCGAGGCUGGGAGAGGUGAAAGAGCCAAGGCUACAGAGCUAGGAAAGGGCAGCGAUGGGAUUUCUUUUGCCCCACUCAAUGUUCUUUCUGCAACAUCGCAGCUGCAAGCAAGUGCUCAGUCAACAAUGGUUGAAUGACAAAGGAAAGAAGCAAGGAAGAGGAAGAAGGAGGAAUAUUGAAAAAAAGUUCCAAGACAGCCAAGUAAAGAGAAACAGUAGAAUAUUUCAAAGCAGUAAAUUGGUGGAAGAUUAGAGGAAUGGGUGUAGUGUAUAACUUUCUUCUAAGGCCACAAAAAGAAAAGCACACACGCAAGAUCAGAGAAAGACACACAGAAGCAGCUCGAAUGUUAGCUUCAGAGUGGAUGUUUCUCUGGGCUGUCUGUGGUUAUGGACACACUCAGAGGUAGUCCCAACAUCAGGCAUCAGAACGCGCUGUGGAGCAUAGAGCUGUGUGCUCUGUGCUGAAACAGGAAUAUUCUUUUCAAUGAACUUGAGGAAUUUAUAUAUAUAGUAUUCAUAUAUGUGUAUGUGCUGCAAAAUUAGAGAAGUCACUGCCCUUGGAGUUAAACGACCAAAGUUCUCAUUCCAGGUCUGUCCUUUCCUGGCUUCUGAGUCUUGGCUAAAACCUCUCUUCUCUCUUAACCUCAGUUUUCUCAUCUGUAAAAUAGGCAGGACAAGAUUUCUCACUUCACAAGGGGUUAGUAAAUCAAAUUAAGCAAAGGAGUGAAUAUAAGCCCCUAACAGGGCCUCAGUUAAAAGUUCCCCACGUCGUUCCAUCUCAUUAAUUCAUUCUAAUGAGGACAGGCCGGGGAGCCCGUCUGCUGCCAGCUCCCACUCCCCGCUGGGCCAGCACAUGGGGACCGUCCUGAGGAGUGAGGCUUUCCAGGGACUCUGGAGCCAAGCUGUUGGGGUUGAAACCUGGCUUUGCUAUUUCCAAGCUGGGUGACCUGGGGCAACUUACUUAACGUCCUUUUGCCUCCAUUUUCUCUCCUGUAAAGUGGGAAUCAUUAUAGGACAUCCCUCUUUGAGUUCUGAAGAAGAACUUAGAGGAAGGUAUUAGUCUUCUGGAUGGGAUCUUCCCAUUCAUCUUCUGAAAAAACCUCCUGGAAGCCUGGACCCCUGCCUGGCACAGAGCACGUGUUCAGAAAGCGUCAGCUGUUUCAGCGUGUCCUUAUUGUUGUUGUGUGCACAGUGUUGUCUUAUGGCUGCAUCUCCACUGCUGCACUGUCCCCUCCCCCGGUUCCCCCGUGUUCCAGCUGCUGAGCUGGAGGACCCAGAUCUGCAGGACGGAGAGGCGUUUCUUAAGUGAGGAGAGCCUCGUCAUCUUUCAGUGAUGUCAGGAGGGCUCCUUAUCAAUAAUUGAACAGUUUUUCCAGGAACCCAAUCUAGAGAGUGCAGGGCCCUGGCUGCAGCAGGGCCUGGCUGGCUGGGGCUCCUGGAAGGCUCGGGGCAUGGUGGGGAUUGUUAUCUGCCCGUUCCGUGGGUGGAGGGGUCUGGUUGCUUCUAGAAAGGCCCCUGCUGCGGGGUGGGACUCCAGACCUGAGCCUGCCACAGGGCUCUCCAUCUUCCCCCAGGUCCUGCCCUCACAGCCCUGUUCCAGCUGCCCCAAAUAGCCGCCCUGUUCUUCACACAGUGUGCUCAGCCAAGAGCUGGGAAGUCGUCCUGAACACCUCCCACUCCCUCCCUGCUCACCUUUACGCCACCCAUAAGUCCUGAUGAUGUUGUUUUUAACCAUGACCCAAAUCUGCCCCUUUUGUCCAUUUUCAUUACCACAACCCUAGGGCAGGCGUGCUGGGCCCCCACAGCUGCUUCUCACUGGCUUCCCGGAUCCCCACCUGCACCCCGCUCCCCCAACCCCCAAACACACACACACACACACCCCCAGCAGCCAAGAGUAAUCUUUUUAAUGCAAAUCUGGUCCUGUCCCCUCCAGGCCCAAACCCUUCCUUGCCUCUGCCUUGCUCUUAGGGAGAUAUUCAGCCUCCAUGUCCUCAAGCCCAUGGCUAACCCGUGUCCAACUUCACCAAGCCCUUCUUGUCUUCAUUCAUGACCUCCUGGCCACAACCACCCUUGUACUGGUCCCUGUCACAGAGACUUCUCACCUCCAGGCUGCCGUCUGCUUGUUCUCUCUUCCAUCUCUGCCUCCAACUUAUGAGGCUUAUCAGUUCUCAGAUGCGUCGCCUCCUCAGAGAAGCCUCCCUGGACCCUCCUGUCUAAAGCAACGACCCCACAGCCUCAGCCCUUCUUCCCUCCAUGGCCCCUGCGUAUUUCCACCGUGAGACUUGUCCCAACCGGAAUGAUUUUGUCAACCUAUCGGCUUCCUUAUUUAUAGUCUGUCUCCUCCACUAGAAGGUGAGCCCACGGGGACACAGAUCCUGUCUGUCUUGCUCACAGCUCUGUCCUCAGGGCCUCCAGUAGCUCCUGGUCCCUGGAAGGUGGGCAGUAAAUAUUGAUCGAAUGGAUGGCUGGAAGCCUGGGGUUGUGUGGUAGACUUUGGUGAGUGCUGAACUCAGAGUCUAGAGUCCUGGGUUUGAGUCCCGGCACUGUGACCUCUCAGGUGCCUCUCUGAAGGUGCAUGUAGACUCAGGAGACCUGGGGGCUAGCCCAGGCUCUGCCACUUGCAGGCAGCUCGCCUUGUCCCUUUGAGCCUCCUUUUCCUCAUCUGUCAAAGGGGGAGGACUGCCUACCUCACAGGAGACUGAGGUAGACACAAGAUUCCGUGAAAUGGAGCUUGUGGAGUCCAUGCAUGUAGAGAGAGCACGGCACAUUCUGGAGGUGAUGGGGGGGGUGCUUAGGACCUGCCAGAUCCUACGGGCAUUCUGCACUGAGCGGGGCAGACACAUCCCGUGUUCACCCCGCAGAAGCCACAGCCAAAGAGGCGAAAAGCAGCUAUCCAGCCCAAAGCCUAUUAGAUGGUGCUGCCUUCAAAGGAGCCAAGCCAAAGCGACACCAGCCAAAGUGUGGGCUUCCUCCCUCCAGCCUUCGCUGAGUUUCCCUUUGGGAACGGGCUGCCAGAGAGCUCAGAGAGACCUCGGACCCUCAACCACAGGCUUUCCUCCUGUGGUGUGAGUGUCCAAUAUGCAAACUGGAUAUAACCCAAUGGAUUGCUUAUGGUAUACAGUUGGCCUUACAGGAUCCCCUGAGGGACCACGAGGACAAUAGGGGAAAGGCUUUGAAGUUGGAACAUUUGCUUUGACUUUAUCAUAACACUGGCUGGAAAAGAUAGUAAAGAGGGUGAAAAAAUAUGUAAGAUGCCAUCCACCAAGGUCAGAGCUGGAGGCCAUAAGUGGGGGGAGGGUGGCAUGUAAUGUGACACUGGGGGAGCGACUGACAUUUAGGUUUUAUGGCUACAAACUCCCAGCUACAGAAGUACCUUUACUGCUGAGACUCCUGUAGGAAAAAUUAAUUCUGUUAUUGUGACUCUAGAGCUCUCUAGUCCAAAUGCUUUUAUUUUUGGCUCCCAUCGAAACAAUUUAUGUUAUAACCAUGACCCAGAACUCGGAGUUGUGCCGCCUUAAAGCCAGAAAGGGCCGUCAGUGCUUAGCAGAUGUGCUUCCACCUGCUUGCCAGGAGGUUGCAUUUUUCUUAAUCUUUGAGAAAACAUUAAUGUAGGCAAGGCACUUAACUCAGUGCCUGGUAUAUAGGAAGCUCUCUGCAAACAGGAGCUGUCAUUGUUCCCACUCUUGUUUUAUUAGCAGUAGCGUACAUAAACACACUUCGUAGUAAACAGCCUCAGAUCCUUUUUUUGGAAUGAGGUGAGAGGUGAAGGAAUUCUAGGAUCCAGAGUACCAUCUAAUUGCCUGGAUGGAGUGAAUUUGGUUCCAGUGCCAGGUGACCUUUAACACGCCACUGGUAUCCAUCAGGCGAUGCCUGGCUGUCUCUUGCUCCAAAAGGUGAUCCAGAUGAGAAGCCCCCAGGUGGAUGGGAGGAGGAAACUCACAUAAAGUAAACACCUACCGGACACCUCCAAAUACCUUAAUGCCUUUAAGCCUCACGGCAACCUGGGGAGGAGGGCUUGUUUUCCCCAACUUACAGAUAGAGAAAGUGAGUCUCACCGGAGGCACUCAGCGAGAAAGUGGCCAGCCUGCAUGUGAAUCCAGGUCUUUAUGACUCUAAAGACUGCAAUCCUCCGUGGCCUGGAAUGGAUUCUCAGAUCUUGGCUACUUCUUUAGGAGCCUGCAGCAAGUUUGAGCUUGCCAAGUUUGCAUUCGUUUAAAAAGUGGCAUCCUAAGUUAUGAUUUAUUUUUUAGUGUUCUGUCCCCAUUUUGCAG